rnacentral:rRNA from 1 species
UACGUAGGGUGCAAGCGUUAAUCGGAAUUACUGGGCGUAAAGCGUGCGCAGGCGGUGAUGUAAGACAGUUGUGAAAUCCCCCGGGCUCAACCUGGGAACUGCAUCUGUGACUGCAUCGCUGGAGUGCGGCAGAGGGGGAUGGAAUUCCGCGUGUAGCAGUGAAAUGCGUAGAUAUGCGGAGGAACACCGAUGGCGAAGGCAAUCCCCCUGGCCUGCACUGGACGCUCAUGCACGAAAGCGUGGGGAGCAAACAGG